rnacentral:rRNA from 1 species
AGUGAACGCUGGCGGUAGGCCUAACACAUGCAAGUCGAACGGCAGCACAGUAAGAGCUUGCUCUUACGGGUGGCGAGUGGCGGACGGGUGAGGAAUACGUCGGAAUCUACUUUUUCGUGGGGGAUAACGUAGGGAAACUUACGCUAAUACCGCAUACGACCUACGGGUGAAAGCAGGGGAUCUUCGGACCUUGCGCGAUUGAAUGAGCCGAUGUCGGAUUAGCUAGUUGGCGGGGUAAAGGCCCACCAAGGCGACGAUCCGUAGCUGGUCUGAGAGGAUGAUCAGCCACACUGGAAAUGAGACACGGUCCAGACUCCUACGGGAGGCAGCAGUGGGGAAUAUUGGACAAUGGGCGCAAGCCUGAUCCAGCCAUACCGCGUGGGUGAAGAAGGCCUUCGGGUUGUAAAGCCCUUUUGUUGGGAAAGAAAAGCAGCAGGUUAAUACCCCGCUGUUCUGACGGUACCCAAAGAAUAAGCACCGGCUAACUUCGUG